UACGGAGGGUGCAAACGUUGCUCGGAAUCAUUGGGCGUAAAGCGCACGUAGGCGGCCGUCUAAGUCGGGUGUGAAAGCCCAGGGCUCAACCCUGGAAGUGCACUCGAAACUGGACGGCUUGAAUAUGGAAGAGGGUCGCGGAAUUCCCGGUGUAGAGGUGAAAUUCGUAGAUAUCGGGAGGAACACCAGUGGCGAAGGCGGCGACCUGGGCCAAUAUUGACGCUGAGGUGCGAAAGCGUGGGGAGCAAACAGG
rnacentral:rRNA from 1 species